AGAGUUUGAUCCUGGCUCAGGAUGAACGCUGGCGGCGUGCCUAAUACAUGCAAGUCGAGCGAACGGACGAGAAGCUUGCUUCUCUGAUGUUAGCGGCGGACGGGUGAGUAACACGUGGAUAACCUACCUAUAAGACUGGGAUAACUUCGGGAAACCGUAGCUAAUACCGGAUAAUAUUUUGAACCGCAUGGUUCAAAAGUGAAAGACGGUCUUGCUGUCACUUAUAGAUGGAUCCGCGCUGCAUUAGCUAGUUGGUAAGGUAACGGCUUACCAAGGCAACGAUGCAUAGCCGACCUGAGAGGGUGAUCGGCCACACUGGAACUGAGACACGGUCCAGACUCCUACGGGAGGCAGCAGUAGGGAAUCUUCCGCAAUGGGCGAAAGCCUGACGGAGCAACGCCGCGUGAGUGAUGAAGGUCUUCGGAUCGUAAAACUCUGUUAUUAGGGAAGAACAUAUGUGUAAGUAACUGUGCACAUCUUGACGGUACCUAAUCAGAAAGCCACGGCUAACUACGUGCCAGCAGCCGCGGUAAUACGUAGGUGGCAAGCGUUAUCCGGAAUUAUUGGGCGUAAAGCGCGCGUAGGCGGUUUUUUAAGUCUGAUGUGAAAGCCCACGGCUCAACCGUGGAGGGUCAUUGGAAACUGGAAAACUUGAGUGCAGAAGAGGAAAGUGGAAUUCCAUGUGUAGCGGUGAAAUGCGCAGAGAUAUGGAGGAACACCAGUGGCGAAGGCGACUUUCUGGUCUGUAACUGACGCUGAUGUGCGAAAGCGUGGGGAUCAAACAGGAUUAGAUACCCUGGUAGUCCACGCCGUAAACGAUGAGUGCUAAGUGUUAGGGGGUUUCCGCCCCUUAGUGCUGCAGCUAACGCAUUAAGCACUCCGCCUGGGGAGUACGACCGCAAGGUUGAAACUCAAAGGAAUUGACGGGGACCCGCACAAGCGGUGGAGCAUGUGGUUUAAUUCGAAGCAACGCGAAGAACCUUACCAAAUCUU
rnacentral:rRNA from 1 species